AUUGAACGCUGGCGGCAGGCCUAACACAUGCCAGUCGAGCGAGCGGCGGACGGGUGAGUAAUGUAUGGGGACUGCCCGAUAGAGGGGGCUACCUACUGGAAACGGUAGCUAAUACCGCAUCCUAUCGGAUAACCCAUAUGGGAUUAGCUAGUAGGUGAGGUAAUGGCUCGCCUAGGCGACGAUACCUCGCUUGUCUGAGAGGAUGAUCAGCCACAUAGGGACUGAGACACGGCCCAGACGCCUACGGAGGCAGCAGUGGGGAAUAGUGCAAAAGGGGCGCAAGCCUGAUGCAGACAUGCCGCGUGUAUGAAGAAGGCCCUAGGGUUGUAAAGUACUUUCAGUCGUGAGGCGUUACCGACAGAAGAAGCACCGGCUAACUCCGUGCCAGCAGCCGCGGUAAUUC
rnacentral:rRNA from 1 species